rnacentral:lncRNA from 1 species
GCAGUUACUGAGAACUCAUAAGACGAAGCUAAAAUCCCUCUUCGGAUCCACAGUCAACCGCCCUGAACACAUCCUGCAAAAAGCCCAGAGAAAGUGUUAUAUAAAUGGAAUCAUAUAGUAUUCAGCCUGCAUUCAGCACAAUUCUCUUGAGAUCCAUUCAAGCUGCUGUGUGUAUCAAUAGUGUGUUCAUUUUUUUGUUGCUGGACAGUAUUCCAUGGUAUGGCUAUACCAUCAUUUGUAUGACCAUUCACCUUCUGAUGGACAUUUGAAAUGUUUCCAAUUUUUGGCUACUCUAAACAAAGUUUCUAUGAAUAUUUAUAUAUAAGUUUUGUGUGAACAUAGUCUUCAUUUCUCUGAGAUAAAUGCCCAAAAGUGCAACUGUUGGGGCAUAUGGAGCGCCAUGGAUUACUACAGAAAAUAUGCAGCUAUCUUUCUGGUCACAUUGUCGGUGUUUCUGCAUGUUCUCCAUUCCGCUCCUGAUGUGCAGGAUUGCCCAGAAUGCACGCUACAGGAAAACCCAUUCUUCUCCCAGCCGGGUGCCCCAAUACUUCAGUGCAUGGGCUGCUGCUUCUCUAGAGCAUAUCCCA